rnacentral:rRNA from 1 species
GAGUUUGAUCCUGGCUCAGAACGAACGCUGGCGGCAGGCUUAACACAUGCAAGUCAAACGGGUGUAGCCAAGUACACUAGUGGCGCAAGGGUGAGAAACGCGUGGGAAAUUGCCUUUCAGUACGGAAUAACGCCGGGAAACUGGCGCUAAUACCGUAUGGUCCCUUCGGGGUAAAGAUUUAUCGCUGAAAGAUAUGCCCGCGUCAGAGUUAGCUAGUUGGUGAGGUAACGGCUCACCAAGGCAACGAUCUGUAGCUGGUCUUAGAGGACGAUCAGCCACACUGGAACUGAGACACGGUCCAGACUCCUACGGGAGGCAGC